GAUUAUGGCUCAGGAUGAACGCUGGCGGCAUGCCUAACACAUGCAAGUCGAACGGAGCUAUUAUGGAAGCUUGCUUUGUUUAGCUUAGUGGCGGACGGGUGAGUAACGCGUGAGAAACCUGCCCUUGAGUGGGGAAUAACACCGAGAAAUCGGUGCUAAUACCGCAUAAUGUCACGGGAUCGCAUGUUCUUGUGACCAAAGGAUUUAUUCGCUUAAGGAUGGUCUCGCGUCCGAUUAGUUAGUUGGUGAGGUAACGGCCCACCAAGACCACGAUCGGUAGCCGAACUGAGAGGUUGAUCGGCCACAUUGGGACUGAGACACGGCCCAGACUCCUACGGGAGGCAGCAGUGGGGAAUAUUGGGCAAUGGGGGAAACCCUGACCCAGCAAUGCCGCGUGAAGGAUGAAGGUCUUCGGAUUGUAAACUUCUUUGAUUGGGGAAGGAUAAAUGACCCACCCAAAGAACAAGUCACGGCUAACUACGUGCCAGCCGCCGC
rnacentral:rRNA from 1 species